GGUGCUAUGGCCGAGUGGUUUAAGGCGACAGAUUUGAAUUCCUCACUAUCUGUUGGAGUUUCUCCGCGUAGGUUCGAACCCUACUGGCACCG